rnacentral:lncRNA from 1 species
UUAUCUUAUAUUAUUUGUUUUAAUGAAAGCUUAUAAAGGAAUGAUGAAAAAAAUAUAUGCUAAAAGUGAUAUAUGUGCACUGUAUGUCAAGUUUUUGGUUUUCUAUAAAUCCUAGCCAUAUUAGGUCUUCUACAAGGAUAUAUUCAUGUGAAUUUAAGCUCUGGUGUGGUUUAUCUGUCAAGGCCGUUUUCUUCUCUUUUAAGAGAAUGGAACCAAUCCAUAAUAUGUAAUAGGUUGUGAGCAGCACGGACCUGAACUUGUCUACAUAGCUUAGUACUGUCCAGUAGCUAAGAAGGCAGGUUCGAUCAUACCAUUCUAACUCAGCAGGACCUAUUUAUAUCUUUCCCUUGUAGAACUGGAAAGCAGAACUAUAAAAAAUUUCUCUUUCUGCAUUCUUCUUCUACUACAGACUUCUGUAACUUUCUCCUGUGGAAACUACUCUUCCUUCUUCAUAUUUAUUCAAGCUUAUACCUGUCCCAUAGCGAUAACUCAUUAGUCAAAGUACAGUUGCAUUCAAGGGUAUAUUCUAACCCCAUCAGUCUGUAUUACUACUGUGUUUCUUAUUCUUUUGCAAGUACCAGUUCAGAGGAGACUUUUGAGGUUUUUUUCUCUGUUUGUGUUCUAGUGUGCCAGGACAGCCGUACUUGGAGGAGCCCUAUCAAAAUAUUUGCUUCAACGCUUUCUUGACCAUUUUACAGUCUUCAAAAUCAUCUGAUAUGGAUGAUAUAAUAUUUUGUAUGAAUGCAAUAAAGGGCAUACAAUCACUUCUCAAUGGUGGGAAGAUGAAACUGACACAGACUGAUGAACUUGGAGCUCUUCUAGCUGUUCUAAAGAAAACCAUGUUUCAUGGACUCCCUGGACUAAACAUAGAGAUGCCCACGGUGCUCUACCCAACUCUACUUCCUCAGUAUGAUGGGCGACCACUUGUCAAAUUGCAGCAGUCAGAAUCCAGUGCUUCUCGACCAGCUAUGAAUAAAAAGAAAAAAUCCAAGGUAAAACCAAAGAAAAUCCAGCCAGGAGAGGAGGAGGAAGAAGAAUCGG